GGUUACCUGGAGUCGCAUUGGGUCUAGAGUCGUUCCGGUCCCGCGGGGCAUGCUUUGAAGAGGCCUUCGUGUCAGGAAGAGGACUGGGCCUUGGCCCUCCCCCGCCGCCUCUAGGGCCGCAGCAAAUAGCAGCGCUGUUUUUCCAGAUCCUGGUGUACCGAGCAGCAGCAAAGGCGGUCCGGCGGCAGGCAUGUUCUCCUCCCCGGACCAGGCCGCACCGCCCCUGGUUAGCACCCGCCUCAGCGUCUCCGCCAUUCGCCGCGUAGCUCUGACCAAUCGGUGGCUCGUUCCCAGCCUUAGUCCCGCCCAAGCCGUGGCCGCAUCGUAGAGAUGGGGUUUCACCAUGUUGGCGAGGCUGGUCUCAAACUCCUGACCUCAGAUGAUCCGCCUGUCUUGGCCUCCCAGAGUGCCAGGAUUAUAGGCAUGAGCCACUGUGUCUGGCCUGUCUUCACAUCUUGACAGAAGAAGAUUUACCAUAGAGGAGAAUCAUGGAGGAAUGUACCUGCCUGCAGAGACAUGGUCUUGCUCUGUCACCCAGGCUACAGUGCAGUGGCAUCAUCACAGCUCACGACAGUCUCGACUUCCUGGGCUCAAGGGACUCCCAUCUCAGCCUCCUGCAUAGCCGGGACUACAGGUACGCACCAACAUGCCCAGCUAAUUUUAAAAUAUAUAUAUAUAUAUAUAU
rnacentral:lncRNA from 1 species